AUUUCUAAAAGAUAAUAGUCAUCUAUUGGUCUUAGGAACCAAAAACUCUUGGUGCAAUCCCAAGUAGAAGUA
ensembl:Mt_tRNA